GGUUAAAUGUGUAUUCAUCUGAUUGGUGUUACCGAGAAUGGAAUUUUUUUUGAGAGAGAACUUUUGAUAGUUUCAUUAGGCAAAAAGGAGGUUGAUUUAAUUUUUUAUGCAGCGUGAUUGGAAGGGAAAUUAUUAAGCUAUGCAUUGUCAUGUCAUUAGGAGUAUGGUUGACCUUCAUUUGCCUUUGCACAUUGGGAGAUGUGAGUUUCAUUUAAUUGUGAAGACCAAAUAAUGCUGAUGAGAAGCAUUACUGCAUCUAUUUGGAGAGAGAGAACCGAAAAUUUCAUUUGCAAAGGUGAAUUAGGUGGAGUGAUGGGACACUUGGCUGCCACAAGUUUAGCUUCAAAGAAAAUAAGGAGAAAGAAAUUUUAGUUGCAGUGGUUUUGGUUCAUGUGAUGAGAUGCUAUUCCAAUUCCUUUUAAUUGAAGAAGUGCAACGCUAUCUUGAAAUGGUGGGGUCCAGAGCUUGAUUUCUUGGGAGCUUAAAUUGGAGUAAAGCUUUGCAUUUGAAACAUUUUAGGAAGCCAUGGUCAUGCUGCUGGUGCACUGUUUCAGCAAAAAAAUGGGUCACGGCAAUUGAAAGUAAAUUUUACUUUUUUUUUACGUUAGCCUUGGAAGAAAAGUGAAAUUGAUUUCCUAUACUUUAAUUGCAAUUGAGUCACGUGUUUUGUAAAGAAAUAUAUGUUUUUUUUUUAUUUUAUUUUUCUUUUAUUUUAAAGUAGUUUAGGUUUUAGAUAAAUUUUAUUUUUUAUUUUAUUUUUCUUUUAUUUUAAAGUAGUUUAGGUUUUAGAUAAACUUUA
rnacentral:lncRNA from 1 species